rnacentral:rRNA from 1 species
GGGCUGGAAUCUCUCGGGGUUACAGCCUUGCUGAAUUAUUCACCCUUGUCUUUUGCGUACUUCUUGUUUCCUUGGUGGGUUCGCCCACCACUAGGACAAACAUAAACCUUUUGUAAUUGCAAUCAGCGUCAGUAACAAAUUAAUAAUUACAACUUUCAACAACGGAUCUCUUGGUUCUGGCAUCGAUGAAGAACGCAGCGAAAUGCGAUAAGUAGUGUGAAUUGCAGAAUUCAGUGAAUCAUCGAAUCUUUGAACGCACAUUGCGCCCUUUGGUAUUCCAAAGGGCAUGCCUGUUCGAGCGUCAUUUGUACCCUCAAGCUUUGCUUGGUGUUGGGCGUCUUGUCUCUAGCUUUGCUGGAGACUCGCCUUAAAGUAAUUGGCAGCCGGCCUACUGGUUUCGGAGCGCAGCACAAGUCGCACUCUCUAUCAGCAAAGGCCUAGCAUCCAUUAAGCCUUUUUUCAACUUUUGACCUCGGAUCAGGUAGGGAUACCCGCUGAAC